CCUACGGGUGGCAGCAGUGGGGAAUAUUGGUCAAUGGUCGAGAGUCUGAACCAGCCAAGUAGCGUGAAGGAUGACUGUCCUAUGUGUUGUAAACUUCUUUUAUAAAGGAAUAAAACGAGGCACGCGUGCCUUGUUGCAUGUACUUUAUGAAAAAGGAUCGGCUAACUCCGUGCCAGCAGCCGCGGUAAUACGGAGGAUCCGAGCGUUAUCCGGAUUUAUUGGGUUUAAAGGGAGCGUAGAUGGGUUGUUAAGUCAGUUGUGAAAGUUUGGGGCUAAACCGUAAAAUUGCAAUUGAUACUGGCAGUCUUGAGUACAGUUGAGGUAGGCGGAAUGCGCGGUGUAGCGGUGAAAUGCUUAGAUAUCACGAAGAACCCCGAUUGCGAAGGCAGCUUACUAACCUGUGACUGACAUUGAUGCUCGAAAGUGUGGGUAUCAAACAGGAUUAGAUACCCCUGUAGUC
rnacentral:rRNA from 1 species